rnacentral:rRNA from 1 species
CACGUAGGGACCAAGCGUUGUCCGGAUUCAUUGGGCGUAAAGAGCUCGUAGGCGGUUCGAUAAGUCGGGUGUGAAACCUCCAGGCUCAACCUGGAGACGCCACCCGAUACUGUCGUGACUAGAGUCCAGUAGGGGAGCGUGGAAUUCCUGGUGUAGCGGUGAAAUGCGCAGAUAUCAGGAGGAACACCGAUUGCGAAGGCAGCUCGCUGGGACGUAACUGACGCUGAGACGCGAAAGCGUGGGGAGCAAACAGG